GGAUUAGAAACCCUGGUAGUCCAUGCCGUAAACGAUGAACACUAGGUGUUGGGGGAGUCGAAUCCCUCGGUGCCGCAGCCAACGCGUUAAGUGUUCCGCCUGGGGAGUACGGCCGCAAGGCUAAAACUCAAAAGAAUUGACGGGGGCCCGCACAAGCAGCGGAGCAUGUUCUUUAAUUCGAUGCAACGCUAAGAACCUUACCUGGGCCUGACAUGGCACUGCAAGCGCACGGAAACGUGUGACCUUCGAGGGUGUGCCACAGGUGCUGCAUGGCUGUCGUCAGCUCGUGUCGUG
rnacentral:rRNA from 1 species